GGAUUUAUAGCCCAGUGGUAAGGAAUUCGACUGCAGAUCGAGAAGUCUCCGGUUCAAACCCGGGUGUCCU